rnacentral:rRNA from 1 species
GAUGAACGCUGGCGGCGUGCCUAAUACAUGCAAGUCGAGCGAACAGACAAGGAGCUUGCUCCUUUGACGUUAGCGGCGGACGGGUGAGUAACACGUGGGUAACCUACCUAUAAGACUGGGAUAACUUCGGGAAACCGGGGCUAAUACCGGAUAAUAUUUCGAACCGCAUGGUUCGAUAGUGAAAGAUGGUUUUGCUAUCACUUAUAGAUGGACCCGCGCCGUAUUAGCUAGUUGGUAAGGUAACGGCUUACCAAGGCGACGAUACGUAGCCGACCUGAGAGGGUGAUCGGCCACACUGGAACUGAGACACGGUCCAGACUCCUACGGGAGGCAGCAGUAGGGAAUCUUCCGCAAUAGGCGAAAGCCUGACGGAGCAACGCCGCGUGAGUGAUGCAGGUCUUCGGAUCGUAAAACUCUGUUAUUAGGGAAGAACAUACAUGUAAGUAACUAUGCACGUCUUGACGGUACCUAAUCAGAAAGCCACGGCUAACUACGUGCCAGCAGCCGCGGUAAUACGUAGGUGGCAAGCGUUAUCCGGAAUUAUUGGGCGUAAAGCGCGCGUAGGCGGUUUUUUAAGUCUGAUGUGAAAGCCCACGGCUCAACCGUGGAGGGUCAUUGGAAACUGGAAAACUUGAGUGCAGAAGAGGAAAGUGGAAUUCCAUGUGUAGCGGUGAAAUGCGCAGAGAUAUGGAGGAACACCAGUGGCGAAGGCGACUUUCUGGUCUGUAACUGACGCUGAUGUGCGAAAGCGUGGGGAUCAAACAGGAUUAGAUACCCUGGUAGUCCACGCCGUAAACGAUGAGUGCUAAGUGUUAGGGGGUUUCCGCCCCUUAGUGCUGCAGCUAACGCAUUAAGCACUCCGCCUGGGGAGUACGACCGCAAGGUUGAAACUCAAAGGAAUUGACGGGGACCCGCACAAGCGGUGGAGCAUGUGGUUUAAUUCGAAGCAACGCGAAGAACCUUACCAAAUCUUGACAUCCUUUGACAACUCUAGAGAUAGAGCCUUCCCCUUCGGGGGACAAAGUGACAGGUGGUGCAUGGUUGUCGUCAGCUCGUGUCGUGAGAUGUUGGGUUAAGUCCCGCAACGAGCGCAACCCUUAAGCUUAGUUGCCAUCAUUAAGUUGGGCACUCUAAGUUGACUGCCGGUGACAAACCGGAGGAAGGUGGGGAUGACGUCAAAUCAUCAUGCCCCUUAUGAUUUGGGCUACACACGUGCUACAAUGGACAAUACAAAGGGCAGCGAAACCGCGAGGUCAAGCAAAUCCCAUAAAGUUGUUCUCAGUUCGGAUUGUAGUCUGCAACUCGACUACAUGAAGCUGGAAUCGCUAGUAAUCGUAGAUCAGCAUGCUACGGUGAAUACGUUCCCGGGUCU